UAAUUUUGAAUGAUCUACCUAAAGUGAACUGUCAUCAUUUGAGAAAAUAAAAAUGACUAUCACCAUCUUACCAUUUAUUAAAGUCUCACUGUCUGGGUGCAGAGCCAAAUGCUUUACACUUAUUUUUCAUGUGAGCCUCCCAACCAUCCUUGCACCCAUGGGUUAGUAUUGUCUCCAUUUUACAGAUGAGAGGAAUGGGGCUCUGAGAGGUUAAGUCACUGGCCUGAGGUCACACAGCUGGUAAGAGGAGAGCCAGCAGUGGAUUCAGUGGCUGCAGGGAUGAUGUGCCAUGGGCCUGGGGGAGGAGGCAGCUGUCCUGGGGCCUGCAGCAAGGCAGUCUGGCUUCAGAGGAGGAGUGACCUGUCUUCUCCUGAGGAGUGAGAAUCUGAGGCCUUGCUGGGGGCCUAGGCGAAGCUGAUGCUGUCACGGAGGUUCAGCGUUGUUCCCAGAACGCCUGUCAAGAUGCUAGUCCUGGGAAAACCACCUGGUCAGGACUCCCUGAAAUGGGUGAUGAGUUUGACUCAAAAGAAAAAUAAGAACCAGCAUUUAUUGAGCAACUACUGGAUGCUGGGCCCUGUCCCAGGUGCUCCUCCGGGGCUAAAAGACCAUUGGGCCGUGGGGGAUAGCUAUUGUCACACCUGUCCUACAGAUGCAAAGCAAUGUCUUUACAUUCCGCGGGCUCUAAAUCCGACCAACCGGGUGCAGACACUUAGCAUAAGAGACAACUUUAUUUUGUUAUUUCAAGUCAGGAGCCUGCAAGUAAUAAAAUGAAAAUGGUCUCAUUCCCAGAGUGCAAUUGGAAGCAACGCUCGAGUUUUGUAACCAAAAUAGUGACGGUCAUAUUAGAGGAAAAGGCUGGAUGGUUUUAACUGACUUUCUUUAUUCAUGGGAAAACAUACUGUGUCUCUGGUUUGUUUCCAAAUGUAUCCGCGAUCUGGGUGGUCAGUUGCCAAUGCACCCAAAUCGUAUACCCCAAUAGUGUUUCAUCCAUCCAGUUAUCCAUCCACUCAUCUAUCCACCCACCCAUCCACUCAUCCACUCAUCCAUCCAUCCAUCCGAAUAAUCCAGUGGGAGGGGUGGGGCUGGAGAGGGAGCAUUUGCUUUUAUGUGUUUCCAUCCACUCACCAUUAGCAGGAAGUCUGCUUUUCAGUAGUCACUAAAUCGCUGCUAGCUAGGUUUAGAUUUUGAAAUAGUGCAAUUUUCAUGUAUCAUUAGGACUCCAUCCAUCCACCCGUGCACGCAUCCAUAUGGGAUGUCUGCCCACAUCUAUCUUCCCAAGUGUCUACAGUCACUUACAACAUCAACGUUGGAGCAGGAUCUGCCCCACAUCCUGGGAGACUGUGCUUCGAGGCGAUUCCCUGGUGACUUGAAACGUAAAAUCACACCUUCCUGUGUGUCCUUGGAAGUCCCUGUCCCGCCUUUGCGGAGUUUGGGUUGUCCUCACUGGGGUGGGGGUGGGGCUCGGCCACCCCCUCCCAGCCGGUGAGCCUGAGAACUUGGUGGCCCACGCAGCCUGCCGCCUUAUCGCUACUGUUUGGUGUUACUACUUAUCUUCUCUCGUGGGAGGGCUUUUCCUGCCUUGCCAGCUUCCACUCCCUCCGCGCCUGCCUCCUGUCCUCCCACUGCCCCCACAGCCUCUGCCAACCAAGGUCACUGAUGACCUCCUAAUUGCCAGAUCUGACAGGCACUUGGGGGUUCUUAUCGCAGUUGUCUUCUCUGUGGCAUCGGAGGAGGCUGACCCUGCCCGCCUGCUCUCUCGCUUCCUUGGCUGGUCCGGGCUCCGGACAGCUGCUAUUCGGUGACCUCCCGGGUUCCCAUUCCCGUGUGCCUCUGUGGGCUGUGCCCCCUCAGCUCCUUGUGGAGUUCCCAGGGCUCUAGCUGUGCACUCUCCUGGGGUGCAGGCAUGCUCCCAUGGUUUCCUCUGCCGCCUCUGAAAGCCCCCGGGACAGAGUCUGUGUUCCUAGAUGCCUCGCCCUCCCCACCCUGCGGCUGGCCAGGCGCACCGAACAGACACCUGGUCAGUCACCCAAUGACGCAGGUUCCAUUUGCUCCGUUGGUCCCAUUCUACAGGUGAGUAAACUGAGAUUUCUGUGAGGCCAGAUACUUGCCCAAAGCUGUUUAGGAAGAAACUGGUCAAAGGGGGAUGUAGACUCAGGCCUGUGGCCCUGGGUAUCCACCUGUUUCCUGAGACUGCCUCCCUCAAGGAGGAAGGAUAGGGGGCCCCAGUGAAACACAAACAAAAGAUAUAAAACCCUGUUGUUCAGGUCUGUGGUCCGUCAUUAGGGCUUCCUCUCUCCAGUUUGCAGUUGAGAAGACAGAGGCUGGGUGAGUUAAAUGACUUGCCCAAGGUGACACGACAGUCAGGCUUCAGAGUCUGAACGCUGGAGGCAGGCGCUUGACUGGAUAUCCCAGCUCUAACAUCAGCUGUGUGACCUUGAGUAUAUCACUUAGCCUCUCUGUGCCUCAGUCUCCUCGUGUGGAUAAAGCUGAUUAUCAUCCUCAAGUGGGGAACAAAUUUGUAUGUCCUGGUAGGUCACCAUGAGGAUUGAAUGAGCUUAAUUACUUAGAAGAGUCCCAAGUGUCAUUCUGUCCCUCCAAAGCCCAUUCCCUUCCCACACCCUGAGGAAGUUAUGCUUUUUAAAAUUUUCAUGUUCUUCCUCAUGCCAUUCCCUUUGCCUGAAAUGUUCUUCCUUCCUUAUCCUUCUGGCCAGUUGAAGCUCGUGCUUUUAACACUCUGCCCAAAUGUCCUCUCCCCCAGGCAGAAAAGCGUUCCUUCUGUCAUAGCCCCUAUGGGGCCAGGUCACAGGGAUGCCUUCAGCUGCAAGAUGCGGAAACCCCAAAAGAGCAGGCUUAAGCGGUGGGGUGAUCUGGGUCUCACAGAACUGUAGGCCCAGGGGCGGGGCCUUUGGGGAAGGCUCAGCACCUGUUCACCACAGCAAUCUUGGCCCUGCUUCCUCUGUGGGCAGACAGCCUCUCUGGGCAGGGAACGAGCCGGCUCUGGGCUCACGCCCCUCCAGGACGGCGGCUGGAAGAGGAGGCAGAGGGUCGAUCCUGGACGCUCUCUGGACGAGAGAGAAACCAUGGUCCCAGAGCCCCCAGAAACCUCUAUUCCAGCUUUGGCAACCCACAUCCGAUCACCAGCCAGGAGCGGGUGCCACCACGACGGGGGCGGCAGUCGGGGCUACCCCUGGGGGAGGAACACCGGGCAGCUGGUGGGGUGGUGGGUCGUGGGUCCCGGAUCAGGGCGCUGGUAGGAGGGAGGACAUGACCAGACUGGGCAGACGGGCUAUGAACGGGGGCAGGGUCAUUGAACCGUCUUGUGCAGGAACGGUGGGCACGGCCCAUCUUUUCCUCCCUGUACCCCUGGCCCGGCACACCUACUACUCACUUGCUGGGAGCCCUUUCUUCAAAUGGAAUACUUGGCAGGAGCCAAAGAUGAGGAACAUACUUGAUGGACCAGCUUUGAGGUCUCCGCACAGCACGCCCUUCCUUCCCCAGAUGGCAAAGUCCCCAACUCAAGGACCGCGUCCCUUGCCCCCGUCUACAGCCAGUAUUGACCAAGGAGACCUGGACAAAAGUUGUUGAGUGGGAAGGCAUGCUCUUUAGUGCAUCGUCUCUCCUUUCCACUGUAAUUCUUUCUGCUUCCUGCCCAGAAUGAAGACUUGAUGGCUGGAGCUCCAGUGGCUAUUUUGGAACACGUGGUCCACUUAAGGGUAGACGGUGCACCAAAGUGGCAGAGCAGAAAGAUGGAAGUCUGAGUUGCUGAGGACUUUAAGGAGCUUCCCAAUCAUUGCUGGACUUCUUUAUAUGAGAGAAAAGUAAAAGUCUAUCUUGUUUAAGCCACUUGUGUGUGUCUUCUCUUUGUGGUAGAUCAAUGACGAAAAUAUGUAGAUCAUACAUUUCUUCCUAUACAGACACUCUUUGCGGAGUGACUUUGCAGUUCCCCCAUCAGAGACGGAGCUGGUUUCCUCACCAUCUGAAUCUGGCCUGGCCUUGUGACUUGCUCUGGCCAACAGAACAUGGCAGAAGUGACUGUGAAACGGGUCCAGACCUCGGUCUCAGGAAGUUUCGCAUGCUCCCGCUCACUUUCUUGGAACCCUGCGCAGCUGGUCUGCUGGACGACGAGCGACGCACGGCUCAGUCCCCAUCAUCGUCCUAGCUGACCACCAGCCGACCUCAGACACGUGAGAGUGUCAUCCUAGACCGGCCAGCCCCCCGCUGACCCAUCUCUGAUGCAUGAACCACCCAGCCAAGAUCAGCCUCCAGCCUGCAGAGGCCGGAAGAACCUUCCAGCUAAGCCAGACUUAAAUUGCUGACCUGCAUGAUGUCGAGCUGAGUAAAUGGCUGUUGUUUGAGGCCUCUAAGUUUCGGGGUGGUUUGUCACACAUCAUUAGCUAAACGAUGCACUCGUAUCCACCAAAUGGAGCCAUCCCAGAGACUUUGAAAUAUUAAAAAGGCAG